UUGGUUACUCCCAACCCGACAGUUUCACCAUGAUAAUCCAAGCUAAACAACUUGGUUACUCCCUUUCUUCUUCCCCGAGCAUGAAAAGUAAAAAAGAAAAAAGAUUCAAUUUUAUCCAAGGAUUUCAACUCAAAAUUGUGUAUACAGAUGAAUAGAGGGCAUGGCUAGAAGAUGUUCCAGCGGGAUUGGCGAGCUCCAUUUCUUUCAGGAGUGUUGCUGAGUCGGAGUAUCCAUGUCAUGGUAUAAUGAUUUAUGUUAGAGACUUUGCAGACAGAGUCACGUAUAUAGUAUGUCAUUCUUGUAAGCGGCUAUUUAAGCCGAUGUAUCAUUAUGCAUUAUGUCACAAAUUUCAUACGAUUACAGAUUUUGCUUGAUUUGAUAAAAAUGAAAAGAAUGUUUUUGUUAAAAGCUUUCACUAUGCAUUUUAGUUCAUGACUUAAGGAUUAUGAGUACAAUGAGAUUCAACGGGUUCGCUCGGCUCUAAGUAAGGGUCGGGUGCCCGUCACGCCCUAUCGGGAUUGGGGUGUGACAUCGGGACAGAGUCGGGUUUAGCUUAGUGCACUCUGCACUUAUUUGGAGGGUCUGGAUCCGGUUGACGACGGCACCCUGCAGGACGAUGUUGAUCGUCAUGCCCGUUUGUACCUGCUUAUUAUCUUGUUCCCGAAUUCAUCGGGUGCCUUUGUCAGUUUACGUUACUUGGUUUUCUUGGAGCAUCUAGACCGCUUGGAAGAAUACAGCUGGGGCGGUGCUGUUCUGGCGUAUCUUUACAGAUGCCUGUGCCGAGCGUCUAUUGGUGCCGUCAGAGAUGUGUGUGGAUUUUUUGCUUUUCUCCAGAUAUGGGCGUGGGAGAGGAUGCUGCCUUUUCAGCCCGUACCUAGGCAUCACCUCGAGAUUGACAUGCCUUAUGCGAGGAGGUGGACAACGGGUUUUGACCGGGAUGUCGAUACGCACCACAAUAUUUUUCCAUUGACCAGCUUGAUCACAUGACGGACGAUGCGGAUUCAACGCCAGGGGGUCCACAGGAGCUGCCCAUUCAGGAGCAUUCUCAUCAGCCUGCCGAGGUAGAGGUGUCUUCUCAUGAGACUACCGAGGCGCAUCAUGUCGUCCAGGAGACUACCUCAUAUUCACCACCACACCCAUCUCAGGAGCCUACAGACCCAUCUCAGGAGCCGACUCAGGCGCCCGUUGACACACACGUUCAUCCUUCGGCGCCUGCGGUGGCGACUCCCGACGAGGAGGAGGUCGAGUUUUCAGACCCAGCUUAGCCUGAGGUUCUGAGCGUGCCAGCGGGAACAGAUCCCAAGAAGAAGCACGUUCUAGUUAAGGGCGCAAGGGCUAGGGGAAGAGGAGAUGAUCAUGGCUUGGAGCGCCCGGUUAUUAAGAGGAAAAAGGGCGAUGGAGACGAUGGCGAAGGCAAUGGGGAUGGUAUGAGCCUUAGGCCUAGGGAUAGUCUCCGGCAUACUACAUGUGGGACCCAU